GAUGAAGAACGUAGCGAAAUGCGAUACUUGGUGUGAAUUGCAGAAUCCCGUGAACCAUCGAGUCUUUGAACGCAAGUUGCGCCCGAAGCCAUUUGGUUGAGGGCACGUCUGCCUGGGCGUCACAUAUCGUUGCCCGAUGCCUAUUGCACUGUGAUAGGAAAUUCUAGGGCGAAAGAUGGCUUCCCGUGAGCGUUGUUGCCUCGCGGUUGGUUGAAAAUUGAGUCCUUGGUAGGGUGUGCCAUGAUAGAUGGUGGUCGAGUUUGCACGAGACCGAUCAUGUGUGCGCUCCCCAAAAUAUGGACUCUUUGACCCCACACGCGACUUUUGACGCUCAUGACGAGACCUCAGGUCAGGCGGGGCUACCCGCUGAGUUUAAGCAUAUCAAUAAGCGGAGGA
rnacentral:misc_RNA from 1 species